GAAUUUUGGGCAAUGGGGGCAACCCUGACCCAGCAACGCCGCGUGAGCGAUGAAGGCCUUCGGGUCGUAAAGCUCUGUCGAGAGGGAAGAAUGCUCUCUGGGUGAACAAUCCAGAGGGAAAGACGGUACCUCUAAAGGAAGCGCCGGCUAACUCCGUGCCAGCAGCCGCGGUAACACGGAGGGCGCAAGCGUUGUUCGGAAUCACUGGGCGUAAAGCGCGUGUAGGCGGCUUGGUAAGUCGGGUGUGAAAGCCCGGGGCUCAACCCCGGAACUGCAUUCGAAACUACCUCGCUCGAGUCCCGGAGAGGGUGGUGGAAUUCCCGGUGUAGAGGUGAAAUUCGUAGAUAUCGGGAGGAACACCAGUGGCGAAGGCGGCCACCUGGACGGUGACUGACGCUGAGACGCGAAAGCGUGGGGAGCAAACAGG
rnacentral:rRNA from 1 species